CGAAGGAUAGCUGCUCUGGAAACUGCAGCCAAUAGAAUUAUAUAGCAUCAGCAAGCAAUAGUAUGAAAUAGUUUAGGAAAACACUCCCUGGUAGGUUGCAGAAGUUUAUUUAAAUUUACAAUAAAGAAAAUAUCUGUAGUAUAGUGUCAGCAUGCCAUACACAUAGAGACAGAAAAUGAUCUACAAUAACUGCAAAAAUAAUUGCCAUAUCGUAAUUUACCAAACACAAGUGUAACUUUUGAAUAAUCAGAAAUCAUGAUAGAGAUUAUGAUUUCAGAAUACAUUGUGAAUGCACAUGCCCGUAAUCAGCAUGAUUAAUAAGUCACUAUCUUUUCCGCAAUGCACCAAUGGUAUCUCAUACUUAUUGGAAACUAUUUCAAAG
rnacentral:misc_RNA from 1 species